GUCUCCAUUAUCCAAGUCAUAUUCGUUUAAGGAACCUUUGGAGAUUGAAGAUGGUGAGCAGAAGAGACCAAACAAGGAAAAUAUACCAAACAAUAGGCAGCCAAGAAAGGCAGAUAAGUCUCUGAAAAUGUCACUAUCUUUCUCGAGAUUGUUUCACAAGAGAGCAAACAACGCUGGAGGUUGCCAAAACACAAGUGAUCAAAAUGGCGUUGGCAGAAUUUCAGAUGUAGUGAUUGGAGAACAGGCAAGUACCCGCAGCCUAGCUAGAGUGCCAUCUACUCGAAAUAUUAGUGAUACUGUGAACUUGCCUAGAGUUCCCUCAAGAAUACUGACGUGUCGCUGGAACUUCGAGAUGUCUCAGUCGUUGACGAAGUUUACAAGUAGGCAGGGUAACGAAGGAAAACCAUCUGAAACGGAAGAUAGAGAUGGAAAAGAGCUAUGCAAGAAGAGGAUUUUAAUGGGAGAGAAG
rnacentral:misc_RNA from 1 species